rnacentral:tRNA from 1 species
CAUUAGAUGGCUGAAAAUUUAAGUAUUGGUCUCUUAAACCAAAUUAUAGUGUUAAACACUUCUAAUG